rnacentral:rRNA from 1 species
GAGACAGCAGUCGCCACGGUAAUACGUAGGUGGCAAGCGUUGUCCGGAAUUAUUGGGCGUAAAGGGCUCGCAGGCGGUUUCUUAAGUCUGAUGUGAAAGCCCCCGGCUCAACCGGGGAGGGUCAUUGGAAACUGGGAAACUUGAGUGCAGAAGAGGAGAGUGGAAUUCCACGUGUAGCGGUGAAAUGCGUAGAGAUGUGGAGGAACACCAGUGGCGAAGGCGACUCUCUGGUCUGUAACUGACGCUGAGGAGCGAAAGCGUGGGGAGCGAACAGGAUUAGAUACCCCUGUAGUCCCUGUCUCUUAUAC